CCAAGCUAUGAAGGGCAAGCGGUGGAUGCCUUGGCGCUAAGAGGCGAGGAAAGACGUGGUGGGCUGCGAAAAGCAUCGGGGAGUUGCCUAGCGAGCUGUGAUCCGGUGGUAUCUGAAUGGGGGAACCCGUGUGGGGUAAUACCUGCACAUUCAUACAUGAAUACAUAGUGUAUGGAGGCCAACGAGGGGAACUGAAACAUCUUAGUACCCUUAGGAAGAGAAAACAACAGUGAUUCUCCGAGUAGCGGUGAGCGAAAGGGGAAGAGCCUAAACCUGUCGUAUGUGAUAGGCCGUGACCGUUGUACGGCAGGGGUAGUGGGUGCAUAUUGGGCCUCAGUUACGGAUGGGCCGGUAAGUUACAAAGUCGAUUUAUAGGCGAACGAUCUGGAAGGAUUGGCCAUAGGGGGUGAGAGUCCCGUAGCCGAAAUGAAUCGAUCUUACUGGGUAUGCAACCCGAGUACUGCGGAGCACGUGGAAUUCCGUAGGAAUCAGGGAGGACCAUCUUCCAAGGCUAAAUACUACUUAGCGACCGAUAGUGGACGAGUACCGUGAGGGAAAGGUGAAAAGUACUCCGGAGAGGAGAGUGAAAUAGUACCUGAAACCGUUUGCCUACAAGCAGUGGGAGGGUCAUGUAUGGUUUAGGCCAUACGGCCUGACUGCGUGCCUUUUGCAUAAUGAGUCAGCGAGUUAUUCUACGUAGCGAGGUUAAGCCGAUAGGUGUAGCCGUAGCGAAAGCGAGUCUGAACAGGGCGAGUGAGUUACGUGGAGUAGACCCGAAACCAGGUGAUCUAUCCAUGGUCAGAGUGAAGCGCAAGUAAAAUUGUGUGGAGGCUCGAACCGGUGUAUGUUGAAAAAUGCUCGGAUGAACUGUGGAUAGGGGUGAAAGGCCAAACAAACUUGGAAAUAGCUGGUUCUCCCCGAAAUAUAUUUAGGUAUAGCCUUGUAGGGUUAUCGAUGGGGGUAGAGCACUGGAUGGGCUAGGGGUCCUACCAGAUUACCAACCCCAACCAAACUCCGAAUACCAUCGAGAUAUACUACAGGAGUCAGACUACGGGAGCUAAGUUUCGUGGUCGAGAGGGAAACAGCCCGGAUCGCCAGCUAAGGUCCCCAAGUGCGUGCUAAGUGGGAAAGGAAGUGGGAAUGCCCAGACAACCAGGAGGUUGGCUUAGAAGCAGCCAUCCUUUAAAGAAAGCGUAAUAGCUCACUGGUCGAGUGAACCUGCGCCGAAAAUGUAACGGGGCUCAAGCACGUCACCGAAGCUGCGGGAUAUUCUUUUGGGAAUAUCGGUAGGGGAGUAUUGUGUACGGGUAGAAGUACGACCGUAAGGACGUGUGGACUGUACACAAGAGCGUAUGCUGACAUGAGUAACGAUAAAGCGGGUGAAAAACCCGCUCGCCGAAAACCUAAGGUUUCCUGGGUAAAGUUCAUCUUCCCAGGGUUAGUCGAUCCCUAAGCCGAGGCCGCAAGGCGUAGGUGAUGGAAAACAGGUUAAUAUUCCUGUACCACCGUUGUAUCGUUUGAGAGAAGGGGGGACGCAGGAGGGUAGGUCAGCCGUCUGGUGGAAUAGGCGGUUCAAGCUGGUAGGCAGAAAGCGCAGGCAAAUCCGCGCUUUUAAUACAAAUGCCGAGCGGUGAUGAGGAUUCGGGCAACCGGAGCAAACUGACUGAUCCCAUGCUGACAAGAAAAGCCUCUAUCGAGAUACAUGGGUGAUCGUACCGCAAACCGACACAGGUAGGUGAGGAGAGAAUCCUAAGGCGCUUGAGAGAACCCUGGUUAAGGAACUCGGCAAAAUGACACCGUAACUUCGGGAUAAGGUGUGCCUUUGGUCGUAGAGUUUAAAGCAAGCCGAGCGAUUGAAGGCCGCAGAGAAAUGGCGGUAGCGACUGUUUACUAAAAACAUAGGACUCUGCAAAGUCGAAAGACGAGGUAUAGGGUCUGACGCCUGCCCGGUGCUGGAAGGUUAAGGGGAUUUGUUAGGGCAACCGAAGCAUUGAACCGAAGCCCCAGUAAACGGCGGCCGUAACUAUAACGGUCCUAAGGUAGCGAAAUUCCUUGUCGGGUAAGUUCCGACCUGCACGAAUGGCGUAACGACUUCCGCACUGUCUCAACCAGGGACUCAGUGAAAUUGAAUUCUCGGUGAAGAUGCCGAGUACCCGCGAAAAGACGGAAAGACCCCGGCACCUUUACUACAGCUUGACAUUGGAUUUUGGAAUAGCAUGUGUAGGAUAGGUGGGAGGCUGGGAAGUUGUGCCGCCAGGUGCGAUGGAGCCGACCUUGAAAUACCACCCUUGCUAUUUUAGAGUUCUAACUUGCGUCCAUGAACUGGGCCAAGGACAGUGUCUGGUGGGUAGUUUGACUGGGGCGGUCGCCUCCCAAAGAGUAACGGAGGCGCGCGAAGGUUCCCUCAGGCUGAUUGGAAACCAGCCGUUGAGUGUAAAGGCAAAAGGGAGCUUGACUGCGAGAGAGACAUUUCGAGCAGGUACGAAAGUAGGUCUUAGUGAUCCGGCGGUUCUGAAUGGAAGGGCCGUCGCUCAACGGAUAAAAGGUACGCCGGGGAUAACAGGCUAAUCGCCCCCAAGAGUUCACAUCGACGGGGCGGUUUGGCACCUCGAUGUCGGCUCAUCACAUCCUGGGGCUGGAGCAGGUCCCAAGGGUUCGGCUGUUCGCCGAUUAAAGUGGUACGUGAGCUGGGUUUAAAACGUCGUGAGACAGUUUGGUCCCUAUCUUUCGUGGGCGCAGGAUAUUUGAGAGGCUCUGUUCUUAGUACGAGAGGACCGGAAUGGACGAACCAAUGGUGUUCCAGUUGUCGUGCCAACGGCAUAGCUGGGUAGCCAAGUUCGGAACGGAUAACCGCUGAAAGCAUCUAAGCGGGAAGCCGACCUCAAGAUGAGAUAUCCCUUCAGGGAGACCUGACAGAAGACACCUUGAAGACGACGAGGUAGAUAGGCCGGGUGUGUAAGUGCAGUGAUGCAUUGAGCUUACCGGUACUAAUCAGUCGUGAGGCUUGGCCAC
rnacentral:rRNA from 1 species